GACCGGUCGAAUGGCCUAAUCGUCAGAGCGUCCGCCUUGGGUGCGGGAGAUCGCAGGUUCAAACCCGCGGCCGAGUCA